rnacentral:rRNA from 1 species
UGGGGAAUAUUGCACAAUGGGCGCAAGCCUGAUGCAGCCAUGCCGCGUGUGUGAAGAAGGCCUUCGGGUUGUAAAGCACUUUCAGCGAGGAGGAAGGUGGUGGACUUAAUACGUUCAUCAAUUGACGUUACUCGCAGAAGAAGCACCGGCUAACUCCGUGCCAGCAGCCGCGGUAAUACGGAGGGUGCAAGCGUUAAUCGGAAUUACUGGGCGUAAAGCGCACGCAGGCGGUUUGUUAAGUCAGAUGUGAAAUCCCCGGGCUCAACCUGGGAACUGCAUUUGAAACUGGCAAGCUAGAGUCUCGUAGAGGGGGGUAGAAUUCCAGGUGUAGCGGUGAAAUGCGUAGAGAUCUGGAGGAAUACCGGUGGCGAAGGCGGCCCCCUGGACGAAGACUGACGCUCAGGUGCG